UACGUAGGGGGCUAGCGUUGUCCGGAAUCAUUGGGCGUAAAGAGCGCGUAGGCGGCUAGAUAAGUCCGGUGUGAAAGUCACAGGCUCAACCUGUGAAUGCCGCUGGAAACUGUCUGGCUAGAGUCCGGAAGGGGCGAGUGGAAUUCCUGGUGUAGCGGUGAAAUGCGCAGAUAUCAGGAGGAACACCGAUGGCGAAGGCAGGUCUCUGGGCCGAUACUGACGCUGAGGAGCGAAAGCGUGGGGAGCGAACAGG
rnacentral:rRNA from 1 species